CGCUCCCUCUGGCGGCAUGCUUAACACAUGCAAGUCGCGCGGGUGGUUUCGGCCAUCCGCGGCGGACGGGUGAGUAUCGCGUAGGAAUGUAUCCCGAGGUGGGGGACAACCCUGGGAAACUGGGGCUAAUACCGCAUGGGGCCUGUGGGUCAAAGCCUUAGGGCGCCUUGGGAGCAGCCUGCGUCCGAUUAGGUAGUUGGUGGGGUAAAGGCCUACCAAGCCUGCGAUCGGUAGCUGGUCUGAGAGGACGAUCAGCCACACUGGGACUGAGACACGGCCCAGACUCCUACGGGAGGCAGCAGUGGGGAAUAUUGGACAAUGGGCGCAAGCCUGAUCCAGCAAUGCCGCGUGGGUGAAGAAGGUCUUCGGAUUGUAAAGCCCUUUCGGCGGGGACGAUGAUGACGGUACCCGCAGAAGAAGCCCCGGCUAACUUCGUG
rnacentral:rRNA from 1 species